UCAAAAUCCACACACCAUAUUGAGUUAAAUCAUAUAACAUGAUUGAACUAAUGCUAGAACUAGUAAUAAGAAAACACGAUUUUCUCAACGCGAACAUGUAAGUCAGACCGAACCAGCCCUGACAAUUACCGAUCCUGUUAAUGGAAACAAGUAGUAACCAUAAACAAGAAAAACCUUAAAUACAAACUCGUUAAUCCCACACAGGCUCGCAUAACAGAAAGAUAAAAAGAUAAAGAAGGAACUCGGCAAACACAAGCCUCGCCUGUUUACCAAAAACAUUGCCUCUAGCCAAACCAAUAUUAGAGGUACUGCCUGCCCAGUGAUAUUAAUUCAACGGCCGCGUAUCCUGACCGUGCAAAGGUAGCAUAAUCACUUGUCUUUUAAAUAAAGACUAGUAUGAACGGCAAAACGAAGGCUAAACUGUCUCCUUUACCUAAUCAAUGAAACUGAUCUCCUGGUACAAAAGCCAGAAUAAAAAAAUAAGACGAGAAGACCCUAUGGAGCUUUAAACAAAAUAGAAAGUUACCAAUCAACCCUGUAUACUCAUUCUACGCUGUUUUCGGUUGGGGCGACCACGGAGAGACAAACCCUCCGAGCUAAACUAGUCAAGGAAAACCACCCUAGACACCAGAACCCUGCACUAUUGACCCAAUUAUUUUUGAUCAACGAACCAAGUUACCCUAGGGAUAACAGCGCAAUCCUCUUUAAGAGCUCCUAUCGACAAGAGGGCUUACGACCUCGAUGUUGGAUCGGGAUAACCUGACAGC
rnacentral:rRNA from 1 species